rnacentral:rRNA from 1 species
GAGUUUGAUCAUGGCUCAGGACGAACGCUGGCGGCGUGCUUAACACAUGCAAGUCGAGCGGAAAGGCCACUUCGGUGGUACUCGAGCGGCGAACGGGUGAGUAACACGUGAGUAAUCUGCCUCUGGCUUCGGGAUAGCCACCGGAAACGGUGAUUAAUACCGGAUAUGACAUCUUCACGCAUGUGAUGGGUGUGGAAAGUUUUUUCGGCCAGGGAUGUGCUCGCGGCCUAUCAGCUUGUUGGUGGGGUAAUGGCCUACCAAGGCUUCGACGGGUAGCCGGCCUGAGAGGGUGACCGGCCACACUGGGACUGAGACACGGCCCAGACUCCUACGGGAGGCAGCAGUGGGGAAUAUUGGACAAUGGGCGGAAGCCUGAUCCAGCAACGCCGCGUGAGGGAUGACGGCCUUCGGGUUGUAAACCUCUUUCAGCACAGACGAAGCGCAAGUGACGGUAUGUGCAGAAGAAGGACCGGCCAACUACGUGCCAGCAGCCGCGGUAAUGCGUAGGGUCCGAGCGUUGUCCGGAAUUAUUGGGCGUAAAGGGCUCGUAGGCGGUUUGUCGCGUCGGGAGUGAAAACACCGGGCUUAACUCGGUGCUUGCUUUCGAUACGGGCAGACUAGAGGCAUUCAGGGGAGAACGGAAUUCCUGGUGUAGCGGUGAAAUGCGCAGAUAUCAGGAGGAACACCGGUGGCGAAGGCGGUUCUCUGGGAAUGUCCUGACGCUGAGGAGCGAAAGUGUGGGGAGCGAACAGGAUUAGAUACCCUGGUAGUCCACACCGUAAACGUUGGGCGCUAGGUGUG